rnacentral:sRNA from 1 species
AUAUGUAAGAUAAAAUUUCUUACUAAAAAUGACUUUGGGAUAAAACUUGGAAAGAUAAACAUCACUUGAGCCACUUAUGGCUAUCAUACCUUGUCCCUCAGCUAGUCAAUGGGAUUGAAGGAGGGGUAUGAGGAGACGGGUGUUCUGACUCUGGUUAUACAUUCACAGUAUCCUGAUAAGAAAAGGCUGGAGGGCCUGUCAAAGCAGCUGGAUUGGAAUGUCCGAAAAAUCCAAUGCUGGUUUCGCCAUCGGAGGAAUCAGGACAAGCCCCCAACGCUUACUAAAUUCUGUGAAAGCAUUCACCUUGGUUCUGGGACAUCCGACAGUGCUGGCAUAACUAUCCAUUUCAGCCUCUUUCAAGUGGGCUUUAUUACUAUUAUAUCAUGGAAUUGGCCUUCUAUUGGUCCCUUAUGUUUUCUCAGUUUACAGACAUUAAAAGAAAGGACUUCCUGAUCAUGUUUGUGCAUCACUUGGUCACCAUUGGGCUUAUCUCCUUCUCCUACAUCAACAAUAUGGUUCGAGUGGGAACUCUGAUCAUGUGUCUACAUGAUGUCU